rnacentral:rRNA from 1 species
UCUUACAGCCAUACUACUCUGAGAAUGUCUGAUCUCAAAAGCUAAACAAAGACAGCCCUGGUUAGUACUUGGAUCAGAGACCACCUGCCAGUACCAGGUGCUGUAAGGU